CUGCAUGAGGAUUGUGUUCAACACGACGUCGAUGGGGAACUUCCUGCUGAACUACAGGAAGGAGGGUCACCAUCAGGAUGUGGGUCACAUGAAAGCAGAUCACGAUACUCACAGGAAAAUGGCCGAGUGUUUGGGAUUCGAACACGACCAGCCGUACAUCUACGAUGGAGUCGCAGAUUUCUGUCAAUCAUCUCUAGAAUCUGCGAUCUGAUGUCGAAAGAAGAUCGAACCAUCCGAGUGUCAACAAACAUGUUUUGUUCAUGCAAACAAUAAAAGCAAAUACUGAAACCCCCA